AUUGAACGCUGGCGGCAUGCUUUACACAUGCAAGUCGAACGGUAACAGGCCGCAAGGUGCUGACGAGUGGCGAACGGGUGAGUAAUGCAUCGGAACGUGCCCAGUCGUGGGGGAUAACGCAGCGAAAGCUGUGCUAAUACCGCAUACGAUCUAUGGAUGAAAGCGGGGGACCGUAAGGCCUCGCGCGAUUGGAGCGGCCGAUGUCAGAUUAGGUAGUUGGUGGGGUAAAGGCUCACCAAGCCAACGAUCUGUAGCUGGUCUGAGAGGACGACCAGCCACACUGGGACUGAGACACGGCCCAGACUCCUGCGGAGGCAGCAGUGGGGAAUUUUGGACCAUGGGCGCAAGCCUGAUCCAGCAAUGCCGCGUACAGGAAGAAGGCCUUCGGGUUGUAAACUGCUUUUGUACGGAACGAAACGGCGAGCUCUAAUACAGUUUGCUAAUGACGGUACCGUAAGAAUAAGCACCGGCUAACUACGUGCCAGCCGCCGCAGUAA
rnacentral:rRNA from 1 species